UCUUAGCAUGAAUUUUUAUAUAAUAAAGGAUUUUGAAAAUCUUUGUAGAUAUAUUUUAUAUCAUUUAGUG
rnacentral:tRNA from 1 species